CCAGACUCCUACGGGAGGCAGCAGUGGGGAAUAUUGCACAAUGGGGGGAACCCUGAUGCAGCGACGCCGCGUGGGUGAAGGAGCACCUCGGUGCGUAAAGCCCUAUCGGCAGGGAAGAAACAGACGGUACCUGACUAAGAAGCCCCGGCUAACUACGUGCCAGCAGCCGCGGUAAUACGUAGGGGGCAAGCGUUAUCCGGAUUUACUGGGUGUAAAGGGGGCGCAGACGGCGAUGCAAGCCAGGAGUGAAAGCCCGGGGCCCAACCCCGGGACUGCUCUUGGAACUGCGUGGCCGGAGUGCAGGAGGGGCAGGCGGAAUUCCUGGUGUAGCGGUGAAAUGCGUAGAUAUUAGGAGGAACACCAGUGGCGAAGGCGGCUUACUGGACUGUAACUGACGUUGAGGCUCGAAAGCGUGGGGAGCAAACAGGAUUAGAUACCCGGGAGG
rnacentral:rRNA from 1 species